GGUUUUUUGAUUAUAAUUUAAAAUUUGAUCUGCUCAAUGAUUAAAUUAAAUAGCUGCAGUAUUUUAACUGUACAAAGGUAGCAUAAUCAUUUGUCUUUUUAUUAAAGUCUGGAAUGAAUGAUUUAAUGAAAAAAUUUCUGUCUCAAUUUAAUUAAUAAAAUUUUAUUUUAAGUUAAAAUUCUUAAAAUUUAUUUAAAGACGAGAAGACCCUAUAGAAUUUUAUAAAAUUUUUUAUUUUUAUUUUAUAAAUUAAUAUAAUUAAAUUUAAUUUUAUUUUAUUGGGGUAAUAAAAAAAUUUAAAUAAAUUUUUUUAAUUAAAUUCAUUUAUAAAUGUCAAUAAAUAAUUUAUCCAAAAUUUUUGAAAUAAAAAUUAAUUACCUUAGGGAUAACAGCGUUAUUUUUUUAGAAAGUUCUUAUUGAUAAAAAAGUUUGCGACCUCGAUGUUGAAUUAAGAUAAAAUUUUAAUGUAGAAAUUAAAAAUUUUAAGUCU
rnacentral:rRNA from 1 species